UGAGUUCACGUCUUUAUGGCUAAGAGCUGAUUCUCAUAGUGGACAACUCAACAAUGACUUUCAUCUUCAUCUUCCUCUGGACACUUGUCCUCUGCUUACAGAAGUCCUAUGGACAGGUCACUGUGACUCAGACUCCUGCAGUGAAAGCUGUUCAACAGGGAGGAUCAGUCAUUCUGAACUGUAGAACCAGCAGUAAUGUGUUUAAUGCAGGGACACAACCAGAGUUAGCCUGGUACCAACAGAAACCUGGAGCAGCUCCUAAACUCCUGAUCUAUUUUGCCAAAACACUUCAGUCUGGGACUCCAUCCAGAUUCAGUGGCAGUGGAACUCACAGUGACUUCACUCUGACCAUCAGUAAUGUCCAGGCUGAGGAUGCAGGAGUUUACUACUGUCAGAGUUACCAUAGUGGUGGUGUGUUCACACAGUGCUAAAGCUCCGUACAAAAA